AUUGAACGCUGGCGGCAGGCCUAACACAUGCAAGUCGAGCGGAUGAAGGGAGCUUGCUCCUGGAUUCAGCGGCGGACGGGUGAGUAAUGCCUAGGAAUCUGCCUGGUAGUGGGGGAUAACGUCCGGAAACGGGCGCUAAUACCGCAUACGUCCUGAGGGAGAAAGUGGGGGAUCUUCGGACCUCACGCUAUCAGAUGAGCCUAGGUCGGAUUAGCUAGUUGGUGGGGUAAAGGCCUACCAAGGCGACGAUCCGUAACUGGUCUGAGAGGAUGAUCAGUCACACUGGAAGUGAGACAGGGUCCAGACUCCUACGGGAGGCAGCAGUGGGGAAUAUUGGACAAUGGGCGAAAGCCUGAUCCAGCCAUGCCGCGUGUGUGAAGAAGGUCUUCGGAUUGUAAAGCACUUUAAGUUGGGAGGAAGGGCAGUAAGUUAAUACCUUGCUGUUUUGACGUUACCAACAGAAUAAGCACCGGCUAACUUCGUG
rnacentral:rRNA from 1 species